rnacentral:rRNA from 1 species
UACGUAGGGUCCAAGCGUUAUCCGGAAUCACUGGGCGUAAAGCGUGCGUAGGCGGCGCGUUAAGUGACGUGCGAAAUCUGGUGGCUCAACCAUCAGACUGUGCGUCAUACUGGCGUGCUGGAGGUCGGCAGAGGCAAGUGGAACUUGUAGUGUAGCAGUGAAAUGCGUAGAUAUUACAAAGAACACCAAUGGCGAAGGCAGCUUGCUGGGCCGCACCUGACGCUGAGGUACGAAAGCGUGGGGAGCGAACAGG